rnacentral:rRNA from 1 species
UACGUAGGGGGCUAGCGUUGUCCGGAAUUAUUGGGCGUAAAGAGCGCGUAGGCGGCCAGAUAAGUCCGGUGUGAAAGUCACAGGCUCAACCUGUGAAUGCCGCUGGAAACUGUCUGGCUAGAGUCCGGAAGGGGCGAGUGGAAUUCCUGGUGUAGCGGUGAAAUGCGCAGAUAUCAGGAGGAACACCAAUGGCGAAGGCAGCUCGCUGGGACGGUACUGACGCUGAGGCGCGAAAGCGUGGGGAGCGAACAGG